rnacentral:misc_RNA from 1 species
AGGGGUGCGGCCUCCCUCUUUACAGAAAGAACAAAAAAACAGAGCAUAAACUCAGAUUUCUCAGAACACAGAACUACACUAUCCUUGAAUAGAAUUUCAGACUCAUUUAUAAAUUCUAGGAUUCUUCUGAGAUUAUUUUCUUCUCAAUUUUUCAUUUUCCUGUUUGGAUGCCGAGAAAAAAAACGCAUUAAAGAAUAGAAAAACUCUCUUUCUCCAGACUUAGCAUUGCUUCUUCUGUACUAUUCGAGCUUUCAUCUUCUAAAUAAAAACUAAGUUUCAGCUAUUCUACACUCGGCUGAUCUCAUUCCUUUUUCAUUUUCUUUGCUUCCCUUCUUGUUCUUAUGGUUUCCAAGUAACUCUAUUUCAAAGUAAGCGUGAAAAGGACGGUUCUGGUUUUAGGCGGCCUUGAGAACCUUUGAAGGUUUCGCUGUUUGUUUUGUUUUGUUCUCUCUCUCUCUCUCUCU